rnacentral:rRNA from 1 species
UACGGGGGGGGCGAGCGUUGUUCGGAAUUACUGGGCGUAAAGGGCGCGUAGGCGGUUCGCUAAGUUGGAUGUGAAAACUCUGGGCUCAACCCAGAGCCUGCAUCCAAAACUGGCGGGCUAGAGUUCUGGAGGGGGUAGCGGAAUUCCUGGUGUAGCGGUGAAAUGCGUAGAUAUCAGGAGGAACACCUGCGGUGUAGACGGCUUACUGGACCAUAACUGACGCUGAGGCACGAAAGCGUGGGUAGCAAACAGG